rnacentral:rRNA from 1 species
UACAAAGGAAUUGACGGGGAGCACCACAACGGGUGGAGCUUGCGGUUUAAUUGGAUUCAACGCCGGAAUCUUACCGGGACCGACAGCAAUAUGAAGGCCAGGCUGAAGACUUUGCCGGAUUAGCUGAGAGGUGGUGCAUGGCCGUCGUCAGUUCGUACUGUGAAGCAUCCUGUUAAGUCAGGCAACGAGCGAGACCCACGCCCACAGUUGCCAGCGUACUCUCUGGAGUGACGGGUACACUGUGGGACCGCCGCUGCUAAAGCGGAGGAAGGAAUGGGCAACGGUAGGUCAGUAUGCCCCGAAUAUCCCGGGCUACACGCGAGCUACAGUGGUUGGUACAAUGGGUAUCUACCCCGAAAGGGGACGGGAAUCUCCUAAAACCAAUCUUAGUUCGGAUUGAGGGCUGCAACUCGCCCUCAUGAAGCUGGAAUCCGUAGUAAUCGCGUUUCAACAGAACGCGGUGAAUACGUCCCUGCUCCUU